rnacentral:rRNA from 1 species
GGUAAAGGCAGCACUGAUGAGGGAAAGGCAGAACUCAAAAAUACUUUGGGAGUUUUUUCUGAGGCCCUGAGUGAAAGAUACUUAGGCCUCCCAACACUGGCUGGGCAGUCCAAAGAUGGCACUGUUAAAUAUGUAACAGAAAGUUCUAAGGGCAAAGUGUAUGGCUGGAAAGGCCAAGGACUUUCCAAAGCAGCAAGAGAAGUGCUUGUCAAGUCGGGCCUUCAAUCCGUACCUACUUUCACCAUGAGUUGCUUUCAACUCACAAAUAAAAUAUGCCGGAACCUGGAUUCAAUCUCCUCGAAAUUC